GGGGUCGUAGCCCAACUGGCAGGAGGCGUGCGGUUUAGGUCCGCAACAGUGCGGGUUCGAAUCCCGCCGGCCCUA
rnacentral:tRNA from 1 species